rnacentral:rRNA from 1 species
AUUGAACGCUGGCGGCAGGCCUAACACAUGCAAGUCGAACGAGUGGCGGACGGGUGAGUAAUGUCUGGGAAACUGCCUGAUGGAGGGGGAUAACUACUGGAAACGGUAGAUAAUACCGCACACCAUCAGCUUUGCCCAGAUGGGAGUAGCUGGUGGGUGGGGUAACGGCUCACCUAGGCGACGAUCCCUAGCUGGUCUGGGAGGAUGACCAGCCACACUGGAACUGAGACACGGUCCAGACUCCUACGGGAGGCAGCAGUGGGGAAUAUUGCACAAUGGGCGCAAGCCUGAUGCAGCCAUGCCGCGUGUAUGAAGAAGGCCUUCGGGUUGUAAAGUACUUUCAGCGGGGAGGCGUUACCUGCAGAAGAAGCACCGGCUAACUCCGUGCCAGCAGCCGCGGUAAUUC